GAUGAAGAACGCAGCGAAAUGCGAUAAGUAAUGUGAAUUGCAGAAUUCAGUGAAUCAUCGAGUUUUUGAACGCAUAUUGCGCCCUCUGGUAUUCCGGGGGGCAUGCCUGUUCGAGCGUCAUUAAAUAACCCUCAAGCAUAGCUUGGUGUUGGGCUUUUUUACGUCCUUGACUGGGAUGGGCCUAAAAAUUAGUGGCGAUGGCUUUUUUACUUUCAAGCGUAGUAAAUCUCGUCUUGCUAAAGAGGAAAAAGAUUUUUUUUCUGCCAAAAAUUUUAACAUUUAAAGUUGACCUCGGAUCAGGUAGGAUUACCUGCUGAACUUAAGCAUAUCAAUAAGCGGAGGA
rnacentral:misc_RNA from 1 species